rnacentral:rRNA from 1 species
UGGGGAAUAUUGCACAAUGGGCGCAAGCCUGAUGCAGCCAUGCCGCGUGUGUGAAGAAGGCCUUCGGGUUGUAAAGCACUUUCAGCGAGGAGGAAGGGUUCAGUGUUAAUAGCACUGUUCAUUGACGUUACUCGCAGAAGAAGCACCGGCUAACUCCGUGCCAGCAGCCGCGGUAAUACGGAGGGUGCAAGCGUUAAUCGGAAUUACUGGGCGUAAAGCGCACGCAGGCGGUUUGUUAAGUCAGAUGUGAAAUCCCCGCGCUUAACGUGGAACUGCAUUUGAAACU